rnacentral:lncRNA from 1 species
ACUAGCACUGAACUAAGUCCAGUUCUCAACAUACUGACCUGCACAACCUUAUCUACAGGGGAAGAAAAUGUUUUCAGCAUUCCAGACUUAGUGAAAUUUUCAGAGUUCAAAAUUCUGGAAUUUUUCCAGCCACAUGCCCACUUUGUCUAGGCAUAGUUUGCACACACAAGUUCCCAAGAGGUGUUUGACACCACUAUGGUAUUGAGCACAAACCCCUACAACUAACACACCAAGAUCCAUGCCUUUGGGCUCCAUCUAUACCAUGGAAACAAAGCCCAAACUUUCAACAAAAUGAAAAAUGCAAAUCCAAAAGGUAUACUUUUAAGAUGACAAUGCAUAGGAGGGUUUCAUGUGCACAAUGACAAAGUGACAUGGGGGUUUGAACCCCAUGUUUGUGUCAUGCACAUCAACAACUCCAACACACACAAUUCCUCUCAAGCACUAGCAUCAAGCUCACACACAAGAAAUCUUUAUAUAACAAGAGAGUAUACACACCCCCCACACAUGGGCAUGUGAUGGUGCACACUCCACU